AAUAUGUUUAGUCAUUGACUGAAUAUAAUACAGUUGAUAACAAUGUUUUCCACACAGGAGCUUCAGACAAGGACCACAUCUUUAAAACCUUCAGUGAUGUAAAUUCUUGUAGGAGCGUGAUUUCCUGAACUGAUACAUAAUAUCUACUUCUACUCAGCUAAAAAAAACUGGUUUGGGAAUCUCAGCCCAGAUCUGUACAGAUUUGCAAAGACACCGCUAAAAACAUCUCCUGUGUCUUCAUUGACAUUAUUCAAAACCUGGGAGUUCUUCUGAUUUUCCUAGAAGCAGCUAUGUGCAGACACAGACUCUUCCAUCUACACUAAGAACCAUUCAGAUGUGUCAGCUCUCAUG
rnacentral:lncRNA from 1 species